rnacentral:rRNA from 1 species
UACGUAGGUGGCAAGCGUUAUCCGGAUUUAUUGGGUUUAAAGGGUGCGUAGGCGGGAUGCCAAGUCAGCGGUAAAAAUGCGGUGCUCAACGCCGUCGAGCCGUUGAAACUGGCGUUCUUGAGUGGGCGAGAAGUAUGCGGAAUGCGUGGUGUAGCGGUGAAAUGCAUAGAUAUCACGCAGAACUCCGAUUGCGAAGGCAGCAUACCGGCGCCCUACUGACGCUGAGGCACGAAAGCGUGGGGAGCAAACAGG